AUUGAACGCUGGCGGCAGGCCUAACACAUGCAAGUCGAGCGAGCGGCGGACGGGUGAGUAAUGUAUGGGAAUCUGCCCGAUAGAGGGGGAUAACUACUGGAAACGGUGGCUAAUACCGCAUACUAUCGGAUGAACCCAUAUGGGAUUAGCUGGUAGGUGGGGUAAAGGCCAACCAAGGCGACGAUCACUAGCUGGUCUGAGAGGAUGAUCAGCCACACUGGGACUGAGACACGGCCCAGACUCCUACGGGAGGCAGCAGUGGGGAAUAUGGCACAAUGGGCGCAAGCCUGAUGCAGCCAUGCCGCGUGUAUGAAGAAGGCCUUCGGGUUGUAAAGGACUUUCGUCAGGGAAGCGGUACCUGAAGAAUAAGCACCGGCUAACUACGUGCCAGCAGCCGCGGUAAUUC
rnacentral:rRNA from 1 species